GCUCCAAGUGGGCCAGGCGCAGUGGCUCAUAGAUGACUGAUUUUAAGACUGAUAUUUUAUAUACCACUGAGAAAGAAAAAAAGUCAAUUUAACUGUAAUAUGCCACUAAUUGUAAGACACACCCAAAUUUUAGUGAAUAAAAUUGGAAAAUGUUUCUUAGGAUCCAUAAAACAUGCCAUACAGUCAAUGAAAGAACUAUCAACACAUUACAAAUAACAGAAAUGAAAAGUUGUUUGGACCAUCUUUUCUUUACUCCUUCCCAGAUG
rnacentral:lncRNA from 1 species